CAUUGCUCAACCCGUGACUGAUGAGGACGGGGUGAGCAAGAGAAAUGCAUAUCCAUCCUUAGCUUGGAAACGAAGAAAAGGAACUUUGAUUCAUUUGUAUGCGCUUCCUUUUCACGCUAUAUUUACUCAAAAGUAGGAACGAAGCGAGCAAAUUGAAGGAACGGAGGGAGCGAGCAAACUGAGCUUGCUAGCGAGCUCAAGCUGAGCGACCGUCUUCUUCGUCGAGCGAGCGUCCUCUUCGUCAUCUUCUUCGUCUCUGUGGUUUCAAUUUCUAGGUUUUCUCCCAAUAUAUAAUAUAGCCGCAUUGCUGAUGGGUCUUGAAUAUCUAAUAAACAUCUCAUAUGUGGAUGGCACUAAAAAUUUUAAGGUAUGAUUAAUUAUGAUGAGCUCUCUAGCACCCACCCGAAGGCCCUAUUAGCUCUUUCUCUCUCUCUCUUCCCAUUUGAACAGAUGAAGUGAUAAUUUGACUUGGUCCUACAUCAAAUCAUCAAUGGCAGAAGCAACAAAGAGAUUUGCAGUUGUUACAGGUACAAACAAAGGGAUUGGAUUAGAAACUGUCAAGCAAUUGGCCUCCAAAGCAAGGCUAUUUGAAGGCCUUGGACUUUCAGGUGAACAAUGCAGGGAUUGGUGGAGUCAAACUAGAUGCUGAUGCUUUUAUAGCUACAGAAUAUUCUGGUGGUGGGGUAAGUCUUGCACUUUUCUUUUUUGUUCCACCACACACAUUAAGGUGAUGCACUUUGAGAAAGGAAGCUUCUAAUGUCGACCAUAUAUGCUUCUGUUUACUUCAUCUUGAUACUAUUAGCAUACCUUAUGGCUCCUAAAACCAUGUUUAGUUUGUCUUUCUAUUUGUUAAGAUGAUGAUCCAUUAUUCUUAGUUUGUCUUUCUUUUUGCUGUUUUGUUUUUUCCAUCAUUUUUUUGUUUUCUUUGUUGGUAAUCUAAAAAUCUUGUUUUUCAUUUGAAAGUAUCUUUUUGUAAAUAAUUAUUCUUUGUUUGAUGCAAAUCUGAUGGAUAAAUUUCUAGUAUAUGAGGACCGAAGACAAUCUACUAGUGAUGAAUCUUAUGUUAUUUGUUUUUGGGAAUCAAUUGACAUUUAGGUUGAACUUAAAUAUCUAGCAUUUUGUUUUUGAGACAUCUUCUGAAUUUGUUGGAAGAAUGUUAGAUAUAUGGAUUGCUUUUGAAUGCAAUGAAUUAUUUGAUGCUA